CAGAUGCCGGGCUCAGAGAACCAGGUCAAGGUGUUCUACUGUCUCCGCCUGCUGGGUAAGCAGAGGGGGCUCCAAGUGACAUAGGGGUUUCCUUCAAACCUCCCUGCUCUGUGCCAAACCCUGGACAGGGGAAUGAGAACGAGGAGUGCUGAGGCCACUGAGGUUUGCUCUUCUCCCCUGCAGCCUGUCUCUCCCCAGACCAAUUUAUUUCCUUUGUGGGCUCCCGCCUCAAGACCGACAAAGAGGGAAGCUGCGUGGCAUCCCUCUCCAUCUUUAGUGGCAUCAUUGCUGCUGACUUGCCCGAGAUGAGCCAGAAAAAAUGUGCUGUAGUCAAGGCCAUGAGGUGCAUGCUUGGUGAUCAGAGCACUGAGGUGAAGAAGGCCGUCCUUCAUUUCGUCAGGACACUGCUCAGUGUGCAGGGCCUGGAUGACUGGGCCUGGGACUUAGUGGCCUAUAUUUUCAAGCAGUCCAGCUUGUCUAGGAGC